AAUAAGUGCAGCCGUGAGUUUCCGUGUCCAAAUUUGAUCGUCCGUCUUAUUUAAAUUUUUUAUAAUUAUUAUUUUUAUUGUUAUUAGAUUAUAAGAUAUGAAUAGUACUUUACGUGUGACUUAUGUUUUUAUUUUUUUCAAAAAAAAAAUUUAAAUAAGACGAACGAUUAAAGUUGGACAUGAAAACACAUGGCUGAGCUAAUU
rfam:Oryza barthii chromosome 2, whole genome shotgun sequence.